rnacentral:piRNA from 1 species
UGAUCCAAAGUCUGGACAAAA